rnacentral:rRNA from 1 species
AUUGAACGCUGGCGGCAGGCUUAACACAUGCAAGUCGAGCGGGGAAAGGUAGCUUGCUACCUGACCUAGCGGCGGACGGGUGAGUAAUGCUUAGGAAUCUGCCUAUUAGUGGGGGACAACAUUCCGAAAGGAAUGCUAAUACCGCAUACGCCCUACGGGGGAAAGCAGGGGAUCUUCGGACCGUGCGCUAAUAGAUGAGCCUAAGUCAGAUUAGCUAGUUGGUGGGGUAAAGGCCUACCAAGGCGACGAUCUGUAGCGGGUCUGAGAGGAUGAUCCGCCACACUGGGACUGAGACACGGCCCAGACUCCUACGGGAGGCAGCAGUGGGGAAUAUUGGACAAUGGGCGGAAGCCUGAUCCAGCCAUGCCGCGUGUGUGAAGAAGGCCUUUUGGUUGUAAAGCACUUUAAGCGAGGAGGAGGCUACUUGGAUUAAUACUCUAGGAUAGUGGACGUUACUCGCAGAAUAAGCACCGGCUAACUCUGUGCCAGCAGCCGCCGUAAAAC